UGACAUGGGUAUAGGUAUGAUGGGUGCAGGUGUGAUAGUACAGGUGUGAUGGGUAUAGGUGUGCCAGGUGUGAUGGGUACAGGUGUGAACAGGUGUGCUGGGCACAGGUGUGACGGACACCACAGG
rnacentral:lncRNA from 1 species